CCUACGGGAGGCAGCAGUCGAGAAUCAUUCACAAUGGGGGAAACCCUGAUGGUGCGACGCCGCGUGGGGGACUGAAGGUCUUCGGAUUGUAAACCCCUGUCAUGUGGGAGCAAAUUAAAAAGAUAGUACCACAAGAGGAAGAGACGGCUAACUCUGUGCCAGCAGCCGCGGUAAUACAGAGGUCGCAAGCGUUGUUCGGAAUCACUGGGCGUAACGCGUGCGUAGGCUGUUGCGUAAGUCGUGUGUGAAAGGCGCGGGCUCAACCCGCGGACGGCACAUGAUACUGCGAGACUAGAGUAAUGGAGGGGGAACCGGAAGUCUCGGUGUAGCAGUGAAAUGCGUAGAUAUCGGGAGGAACACUGGUGGCGAAGGCGGGUUCCUGGACAUUAACUGACGCUGAGGCACGAAGGCCAGGGGAGCGAAAGGGAUUAGAUACCCUUGUAGUC
rnacentral:rRNA from 1 species